rnacentral:lncRNA from 1 species
CAGCCUGAAAUAGGAUGCCUUCAAGGGGACAAACAGAAAUGUAGGAGGAAGGAUCUUCAAAGACAUGCCAAAUUACCGUGACUCAUUACCAUGGCCCUCUUAAGAUCAGUGCUCGCAAGAAGUAGUUUAUGCCAAACAAGUAUAGCAAGAAGAGCAACCUUGCUGGGUGGGUGAGGAAAAUCAGUCCUCUUUUCUAUGACAUGAGACUAAUUAUUAAAAGAAUUUCAAUUUUGUCUUUACCAAGACAUGAGUUCCUUAUGUACUGCAUGCUGUCUUCUGCUUUUUAUUUGAAGAAAUGUGGCAUUUGGGAAGCAGCAGAUGUCCCCCCUGUGGAAUCAAUGUGAAAUGAUAUUUUUGUAACAUCAUUAAAAAGUCUAUCAAGGCUGAGGCAGGAGAAUCGCUUGAACCCGGGAGGCAGAGGUUGCAGUGAACCGAGAUUCUAUGUUCAGCCAAUUUCCUCCAAGGAAAACCGUGGAUGGAACUAAAUGAGAUUUCACCCACUUGGUGCAAUUUGGUCAGAGGGUGGAAUGUCCAGCCAUCCAGGUUGACCCGGGGCAGGGCCUCAGUCUCACCUGUCC